rnacentral:rRNA from 1 species
GCAGGCUGCAACCCGCCUGCACGAAGUUGGAAUUGCUAGUAAUCGCGGAUCAGCAUGCCGCGGUGAAUACGUUCCCGGGUCUUGUACACACCGCCCGUCACACCAUGGGAGCCGGUAAUACCCGAAGUCAGUAGUUUAACCCUUGUGGAGGACGCUGCCGAAGGUAGGAUUGGCGACUGGGUGAAGUCGUAACAAGGUAGC